CGACACACUAUCGUUAACUGAAUACAUAGGUUAACGAGGCGAACCGGGGGAACUGAAACAUCUAAGUACCCCGAGGAAAAGAAAUCAACCGAGAUUCCCCCAGUAGCGGCGAGCGAACGGGGAGCAGCCCGGAGUCUGAAUCAGCUUGUGUGUUAGUGGAACGGUCUGGAAAGUCCGACGGUACAGGGUGAUAGUCCCGUACACGAAAAUGCACUUGCUGUGAACUCGAAGAGUAGGGCGGGACACGUGGUAUCCUGUCUGAAUAUGGGGGGACCAUCCUCCAAGGCUAAAUACUCCUGACUGACCGAUAGUGAACCAGUACCGUGAGGGAAAGGCGAAAAGAACCCCGGCGAGGGGAGUGAAAAAGAACCUGAAACCGUGUACGUACAAGCAGUGGGAGCCUCUUUAUGGGGUGACUGCGUACCUUUUGUAUAAUGGGUCAGCGACUUAUAUUCUGUAGCAAGGUUAACCGUAUAGGGGAGCCGAAGGGAAACCGAGUCUUAACUGGGCGUUAAGUUGCAGGGUAUAGACCCGAAACCCGGUGAUCUAGCCAUGGGCAGGUUGAAGGUUGGGUAACACUAACUGGAGGACCGAACCGACUAAUGUUGAAAAAUUAGCGGAUGACCUGUGGCUGGGGGUGAAAGGCCAAUCAAACCGGGAGAUAGCUGGUUCUCCCCGAAAGCUAUUUAGGUAGCGCCUCGUGAACUCAUCUUCGGGGGUAGAGCACUGUUUCGGCUAGGGGGCCAUCCCGGCUUACCAACCCGAUGCAAACUACGAAUACCGAAGAAUGUUAUCACGGGAGACACACGGCGGGUGCUAACGUCCGUCGUGAAGAGGGAAACAACCCAGACCGCCAGCUAAGGUCCCAAAGUCAUGGUUAAGUGGGAAACGAUGUGGGAAGGCACAGACAGCCAGGAUGUUGGCUUAGAAGCAGCCAUCAUUUAAAGAAAGCGUAAUAGCUCACUGGUCGAGUCGGCCUGCGCGGAAGAUGUAACGGGGCUAAACCAUGCACCGAAGCUGCGGCAGCGACACUAUGUGUUGUUGGGUAGGGGAGCGUUCUGUAAGCCGUUGAAGGUGUGCUGUGAGGCAUGCUGGAGGUAUCAGAAGUGCGAAUGCUGACAUAAGUAACGAUAAAGCGGGUGAAAAGCCCGCUCGCCGGAAGACCAAGGGUUCCUGUCCAACGUUAAUCGGGGCAGGGUGAGUCGACCCCUAAGGCGAGGCCGAAAGGCGUAGUCGAUGGGAAACAGGUUAAUAUUCCUGUACUUGGUGUUACUGCGAAGGGGGGACGGAGAAGGCUAUGUCAGCCGGGCGACGGUUGUCCCGGUUUAAGCAUGUAGGCGGAGGUUCCAGGUAAAUCCGGUACCUUAUUAACGCUGAGGUGUGAUGACGAGGCACUACGGUGCUGAAGUGAUAAAUGCCCUGCUUCCAGGAAAAGCCUCUAAGCAUCAGGUAACACGAAAUCGUACCCCAAACCGACACAGGUGGUCAGGUAGAGAAUACCAAGGCGCUUGAGAGAACUCGGGUGAAGGAACUAGGCAAAAUGGUGCCGUAACUUCGGGAGAAGGCACGCUGAUAUGUAGGUGAAGCCCCUGCGGGCGGAGCUGAAAUCAGUCGAAGAUACCAGCUGGCUGCAACUGUUUAUUAAAAACACAGCACUGUGCAAACACGAAAGUGGACGUAUACGGUGUGACGCCUGCCCGGUGCCGGAAGGUUAAUUGAUGGGGUUAGCGGCAACGCGAAGCUCUUGAUCGAAGCCCCGGUAAACGGCGGCCGUAACUAUAACGGUCCUAAGGUAGCGAAAUUCCUUGUCGGGUAAGUUCCGACCUGCACGAAUGGCGUAAUGAUGGCCAGGCUGUCUCCACCCGAGACUCAGUGAAAUUGAACUCGCUGUGAAGAUGCAGUGUACCCGCGGCAAGACGGAAAGACCCCGUGAACCUUUACUAUAGCUUGACACUGAACACUGGUCCUUGAUGUGUAGGAUAGGUGGGAGGCUUUGAAGCGUGGACGCCAGUCUGCGUGGAGCCAUCCUUGAAAUACCACCCUUUAAUGGCUGGUGUUCUAACGUAGACCCGUGAUCCGGGUUGCGGACAGUGUCUGGUGGGUAGUUUGACUGGGGCGGUCUCCUCCCAAAGAGUAACGGAGGAGCACGAAGGUUGGCUAAUCCUGGUCGGACAUCAGGAGGUUAGUGCAAUGGCAUAAGCCAGCUUGACUGCGAGCGUGACGGCGCGAGCAGGUGCGAAAGCAGGUCAUAGUGAUCCGGUGGUUCUGAAUGGAAGGGCCAUCGCUCAACGGAUAAAAGGUACUCCGGGGAUAACAGGCUGAUACCGCCCAAGAGUUCAUAUCGACGGCGGUGUUUGGCACCUCGAUGUCGGCUCAUCACAUCCUGGGGCUGAAGUAGGUCCCAAGGGUAUGGCUGUUCGCCAUUUAAAGUGGUACGCGAGCUGGGUUUAGAACGUCGUGAGACAGUUCGGUCCCUAUCUGCCGUGGGCGCUGGAGAAUUGAGGGGGGCUGCUCCUAGUACGAGAGGACCGGAGUGGACGCAUCACUGGUGUUCGGGUUGUCAUGCCAAUGGCACUGCCCGGUAGCUAAAUGCGGAAGAGAUAAGUGCUGAAAGCAUCUAAGCACGAAACUUGCCCCGAGAUGAGUUCUCCCUGAGACUUUAAGUCUCCUGAAGGAACGUUGAAGACGACGACGUUGAUAGGUCGGGUGUGUAAGCGCAGCGAUGCGUUGAGCUAACCGAUACUAAUGAACCGUGAGGCUUAACCUU
rnacentral:rRNA from 1 species